rnacentral:rRNA from 1 species
GACGAACGCUGGCGGCGUGCCUAAUACAUGCAAGUCGAGCGAACAGACGAGGUGCUUGCUCCUCUGACGUUAGCGGCGGACGGGUGAGUAACACGUGGAUAACCUACCUAUACGACUGGGAUAACUUCGGGAAACCGGAGCUAAUACCGGAUAAUUUAUUGACCUGCAUGGUUCACUAGUUAAAGACGGUUUUGCUUUCACUUAUAGAUUGAUCCGCGCCGAAUUAGCUAGUUGGGGAGGUAACGGGUUAACAAGGCUACGAGGGGUAGCCGACCUAAGCGGGUGAUGGGAGAGACUGGCACUGAGACAGGGACCAGACUCCGACAGGGAGAAGCGGUAGAGAAUCCUACGAGAGGAAGGAGAGGGGGACAGAGCAACGCCGCGGGAGUGAUGAAGGUGUUCGGAUCGGAGAACUAUGUUAGUAGGGAAGAAGAAAUGUGUAAGUAACUAGGCACGUAAUGACGGUACCGGGUCAAAAAGCCACGGCUAACUACGUG